ACAGCACCUGAUGGGGAAAGAAAAGAAAUGAUCAAACACAAAUGAACUUAAAGAUAUUGAAUCAGUAGCAAAUAGACUUGUAGAUUUCUUCCAGUGAAUUAAGGAUAACUAACCACUACUACUACUCUCAGCUCCCAGUCCAAUGCUGCGGUGAGAAGGCCGGCUGCUGAAUGGGAUGUGACUGACGCUGCUCUGAAGCCCAGACAAAGGUGAUGUUCCUCUUGCAUGUUGCCUGUUGGUGUUGUGGUGAGCUACGGCUUUGAGGAUGGCUUCAGCAGCUGCCUCAAGCACCUGGUCAUGCUGCUAGCGUUAGCGACCCUCCCCCAGUGCUUUUGAGCAGCUGCUGCCGAGGAUGUGCUCAAGUAACCCUAUCUCAGAGCACAGAGAGCACAGAAAUUAGCACCAAAUCCUGCUUGCCCCGUAGUCACUGAGCCCACGAGAGUUCUGUGUCUCAAUCGAGAGUUGGCUGCCUCCAGGCUUUCCUUGGCUUUCCACUUCCUGCCAGUCUGUACAGUACCAGAGGUAGGACGCCAUGCUGGUAAAUCUACACCUUAAAUCUCCUGGAUCAUUUCAACAAUCUAUAAAUGUGUCAGUGUCAGCCGUCAUCAUCCAGUAACACAUGUGUUACGCACAGAAUAAACAGACAGAGCUCACUGAGUUACUCCAUGUAAGGAUUCAUGACUGUUGCUGAUUGUGUUGUGGAAGUUGGGGAGAGAGGAAGAGGAGAAGAUACCAGUGUGCCGGUGUCUCAGGUGUAUUGAAGUCUCAGGUGUGCUGAAGUCUCAGGUGUGCCGGUGUCAAUAAUAACAAUAAUUCAUGUUUGUCACUGUAGAAACAUUAAUAAUAUUAUUUUGAAACACUAUGAUAAGUUUCAGAGCUUAAUAUUGCAGUGUGUCCACCUGCCAAGGGUUUGCGAUCCGCAAAGUUCCAUGCCAGGUACAUUUAUAUACAUGCUGUGCUUUUGUGCGUACAGAUGGUUUAUACAUGAGGCCCCAGCACUUUAACUCUGAACUUCUUUGAACUUAAAUAAAUAAACACAUGUGUUUUGAUGUCUUAACUGCACAUGUUGCCUUUCUUUUCUCCCCCCGGUGUAUUAUUGUUGUUUUCAUUGUCCCUUCAUCUCCUAAACCAAAGCCAGGGACAUAACAAUGACACUAAACAAAAUCUAUUUAGAAUGAAAAAUAUAUUGAGGCUGCAGUAACAAGACCCCAACAUUCUCUGAGAUUGUUUUUAUAUUAUUGUUUUUCAUUAUUUUCGUACUAUGAAUAUGUGAGUAUAGGUGUAGGUCAUGACACUCGUGAUGUCACGGGGUCACCUGCUUAGGGACUGUUUUUUGUUUAUUUUUGUGUUGAUCUGCCUUCACUAACUCUCUUGUCAUUGCAGAUCUUGCCACUCACGUGAAAUGGCAGCUGAAGCUCAGAGGGGAUCAGGCUUUUGCUGAAAAAAUCUCUUUUAAAGACUCACCUGUUCUCCUUUGCAUUUGAGGCAGUGUGAGUCUGUUAUAAUAAUAAUAAUAAUGAUGAUAAUAAUAAUAAUAAUAACUAGUUAUUUUCAGUCCUAGUAAUUUUCAGCAGUGUCCCUUCGCAAAGUUAGAGGUGUUUAUAAGUGUCAAUACAGGUGAAAUGUUGUUAAUAAGGAAAGGAAAAGUUAGAGUUUUGUUGUCUUAGGAGUAUAUGGUUUUCAUAAUAGUCACGUCAUCAUAUAGUUGCAACUGACAUUGUAGUUUAUAGAGAAUUGGCCACAUAAGAGAUGUUGUAUUGGCUGUGUUUUUCCAUCAAGGACAUUUAUUGUUGUAGUGUGAAUGUGUGUUGAUCGAAUUUCUAUGUGUUUUUUGUGAGGGUGAUAGAUGUGUCUUGAAAGAAGGUGUAGUUUUUACUUGUCCAAAAUACAUGUAAUGUAAAUAUGAUCUCUGGUAGCUAAAGAGAGUCAUGUAUUUAGCUACUAGAUGUUUUUGGUAUGUGUUUGCAAAGCAUAUUACCUGGGCAUGUGUGUUUCUUUUUUAGUGUGCCUGUGUGAAAUGACAUGCUCAAAUUGUAUGUUUUGGUAUGUAUCAGCAGUAAUUACAAGUGUAGGUGAAUUGUGUUGGUAUAAGAAUGAAGGUAAUAUCCUGCGUAAAAGUUAAUUCAGAUGGAACUUAUCACAAAUGUUUUUUGCCUAAUAAAAUGUAGGAUGUUGAA